rnacentral:lncRNA from 1 species
AUGGAGGCUUGGGAUGUGCCAGAGGGGCCGCGGGCAGGAGGGAGGGGAGGAGAGGGCGGAUUUUCCGGCUGGAAAUUGGAAAAACCUGGCGGGGCUGGGGACCCGGGACUUCCCUGCCGGGCUGCUGGGAGGAGGAGCCCCGGCCGCCACCGAUCCCUGUCCCCAGGAAUGUCCCCGUGCCCGUUCCCAGGUCCCGCGUCCCCAGUCCGUGUCCCCAGGGAUGUCCCCGUGCCCAUUCCCAGGUCCCGUGUCCCCAGUCCGUGUCCCCAGGGAUGUCCCCGUGCCCAUUCCCAGGUCCCGUGUCCCCAGUCCGUGUCCCCAGGGAUGUCCCCGUGCCCAUUCCCAGGUCCCGUGUCCCCAGUCCGUGUCCCCAGGGAUGUCCCCGUGCCCAUUCCCAGGUCCCGUGUCCCCAGUCCGUGUCCCCAGGGAUGUCCCCGUGCCCAUUCCCAGGUCCCGUGUCCCCAGUCCGUGUCCCCAGGGAUGUCCCCGUGCCCAUUCCCAGGUCCCGUGUCCCCAGUCCGUGUCCCCAGGGAUGUCCCCGUGCCCAUUCCCAGGUCCCGUGUCCCCAGUCCGUGUCCCCAGGGAUGUCCCCGUGCCCAUUCCCAGGUCCCGUGUCCCCAGUCCGUGUCCCCAGGGAUGUCCCCGUGCCCAUUCCCAGGUCCCGUGUCCCCAGUCCGUGUCCCCAGGGAUGUCCCCGUGCCCAUUCCCAGGUCCCGUGUCCCCAGUCCGUGUCCCCAGGGAUGUCCCCGUGCCCAUUCCCAGGUCCCGUGUCCCCAGUCCGUGUCCCCAGGGAUGUCCCCGUGCCCAUUCCCAGGUCCCGUGUCCCCAGUCCGUGUCCCCAGGGAUGUCCCCGUGCCCAUUCCCAGGUCCCGUGUCCCCAGUCCGUGUCCCCAGGGAUGUCCCCGUGCCCAUUCCCAGGUCCCGUGUCCCCAGUCCGUGUCCCCAGGGAUGUCCCCGUGCCCAUUCCCAGGUCCCGUGUCCCCAGUCCGUGUCCCCAGGGAUGUCCCCGUGCCCAUUCCCAGGUCCCGUGUCCCCAGUCCGUGUCCCCAGGGAUGUCCCCGUGCCCAUUCCCAGGUCCCGUGUCCCCAGUCCGUGUCCCCAGGGAUGUCCCCCUGCUCAAUCCCAGAUCCCAAAUGUGUCCAAGCCUCCCGGAGCUGUGUCCCCAACCCCAAGGGGAUGUCCCUGCCACCAAUCCUUGUCCCCAGGGGCUGUCCUUGUGCUCAGGCACGUCCCCAUUUUCCUGGCAGGUCCCCCAGAUCUGAUCCUGGCUGUCCCCAAUCCCUGUGCCUGAUUUCCGAGGAGAUGUCCUGGAUUUGA